GAGAGGAAGGUGGGGAUGACGUCAAAUCAGCACGGCCCUUACGUCCAGGGCCACACACGUGCUACAAUGGCCGAUACAGAGGGCAGCUACCUGGUGACAGGAUGCAAAUCUCGAAAGUCGGUCUCAGUUCGGAUCGGAGUCUGCAACUCGACUCCGUGAAGUUGGAUUCGCUAGUAAUCGCGCAUCAGCCAUGGCGCGGUGAAUACGUUCCCGGGCCUU
rnacentral:rRNA from 1 species